GGGAGUGGAUUGGGCCUGGUGGCCCGCCUGGACUUCAAAUCCAGCGGAACGUGGUGAUCCCACGUUUGGUGUGUUCGAUUCGCACCCAUUCCCGCCA
rnacentral:tRNA from 1 species